rnacentral:rRNA from 1 species
AUACAGAGGGUGCAAGCGUUAAUCGGAAUUACUGGGCGUAAAGCGCGCGUAGGUGGUUAGUUAAGUUGGAUGUGAAAGCCCUGGGCUCAACCUGGGAAUGGCAUUCAAAACUGGCUGACUAGAGUAUGGUAGAGGGAAGGGGAAUUCCAGGUGUAGCGGUGAAAUGCGUAGAUAUCUGGAGGAACAUCAGUGGCGAAGGCGCCUUCCUGGACUAAUACUGACACUGAGGUGCGAAAGCGUGGGUAGCAAACAGGAUUAGAAACCCUUGUAGUCC